rnacentral:lncRNA from 1 species
CUGCCUUCCCCCCUCCCCCCCCAGCCCAAGGUUGCUGUGUCAUCCAGCGGGUGACAUCGGGGAACGGCCGCCGGUUGGCUGCGCAGGCGUCGGCUUCCGGCAAAUGAGCUUCGCGAGCUGCACGACUGACACCUAUCCUGCCUAAUAGCUGUCUCGCGUGCACGUGGGGGGGGCGGGGCGAAGCGGAGAUGUCACUGUAGUCGGCGGGCGGUGAGGCGUCGAUGCCGCGUCGCGGCGCCGCUGAGCUGCCUUAGGCCCAGCCAUACCCGCUAUCACCUGCAGCCGUCACGGCGCUCCGCCCGUGCGGCCGGCAAAUGAGUGCACAAACUGACGUAACCUCGCCUCGGUUGAGGAGGGUCUCAGGGGCCCUCGAGAAGCGCGGCUCGGUGGGCGGGUCUCCGCACUGUUACGGUGUAACGGGCACAUUCCUUCUCUAAUGAAGUCAUAGGGUGCGACCUGCAGCCCAGUCCGCAGGGCGGAAGGGUGGGACAAGUAGAAGCGGGCGAGCGAGUGCCCCAUUUAAGGGGCAAAUCUCUCAGCCCACUGGCAGACGAAGAAGGGGCGGGAGCCACUGAGUGAGGUGAAGGGGGCAACGCUAACCGGUGACAGCCAGCAAAUGCAGCCAAUCAGUGAGAGUAUAGUGACGUGAGAGCCCAAUCAAAAGCGCCGAGAGGCGGUGCUCCGCUGUGAUUGACGUGCGUCCUGCCUAAUGGGCGGAGAGAUCCCCGAGGCGCUUCCCAAUGGGCAGCGUGAAGGGGCGGAAAAGGGAACCAAAGGAGAAGACGAGCAGGCAAAAAGACCACUCAGCGUGAGGCUCGGCGGGGCACUGUCCAAUGGGCGGCGCGAGGGGCGGUGUGGGGGCGUGUCCCGCUGUGUUUGGGUUCGUGCUCCUCGGGGGAGGGAGAGACGGCGGCGAGGAAAGUUUGGUGUGGGUUUUUGGUUUCCCCCCCCGGUGGUGUUUUUUUUAGCGGGGCCGGCGGAGGGCGGGAGACGCUUUUCGCAGCUUUUUCGCCUUUUGCUUCCCGGGUUUCGUGUUUCCCGGCCGGGCGGAGCCGCCCCCGGCUGUGAAAAGAACGAGGGCUCAGCGCACCGCGGUGGCGCCUCGGCGGGUUUUGUUUUUGCACUGAAUGUAGCCAGGACGGAUCCUUGUGGGCUUUGGCAGCCCUUGGAAACUGUCAAAGGCAGUAUUUUUCAUUUCUGCAGAGCUUUGCACAGAUCCCGUUCCCAUGCAAACUGA